rnacentral:rRNA from 1 species
CACUCCUACGGGAGGCAACAGUGGGGAAUUUUGGACAAUGGGCGAAAGCCUGAUCCAGCAAUGCCGCGUGUGUGAAGAAGGCCUUCGGGUUGUAAAGCACUUUUGUCCGGAAAGAAAUCCUUGGCUCUAAUACAGUCGGGGGAUGACGGUACCGGAAGAAUAAGCACCGGCUAACUACGUGCCAGCAGCCGCGGUAAUACGUAGGGUGCGAGCGUUAAUCGGAAUUACUGGGCGUAAAGCGUGCGCAGGCGGUUUGCUAAGACCGAUGUGAAAUCCCCGGGCUCAACCUGGGAACUGCAUUGGUGACUGGCAGGCUAGAGUAUGGCAGAGGGGGGUAGAAUUCCACGUGUAGCAGUGAAAUGCGUAGAGAUGUGGAGGAAUACCGAUGGCGAAGGCAGCCCCCUGGGCCAAUACUGACGCUCAUGCACGAAAGCGUGGGGAGCAAACAGGAUUAGAAACCCUAGUAGUCCCAUG